UCCCAAAACCCCCUCAACCCUUUCUCCUCUCUUCCUUUACCAUUCUUUGGAGUUAAGGGCUGAUCUUUGGUGGAAUUCUCGGGCUUGUUCUUGGAUCUUAAACAUCAAUCUCCUCUUUGCUCAAGGAGUUGAAGUUGUGGCUCAAAGUAAAAGCUAGCUGAGGACUAGCAUUCCAGGAAGAGAAAUCGUCAAAGUUGUGUCAGUUCAGUGAAGCGAUGCGAACGUGGAGUACAUGGCAAGAGUUGGUUUUAGAGUAGUUACUUGAGUUAAUUGUGCGUGUUCCCAAUUAUUGGCAUGUAGAGUGUGAAAUCCCUCAAUAUAAGUAACUUGUUAACUUAUGUACUCAUUUCUGUAUCUUAAGAACCCUUGUAUUAGUUGUGGUUUGUGUUAAAAUCUUGUUUGGUUUGUAUUAAA